rnacentral:rRNA from 1 species
UACCAGCACCCCGAGUGGUCGGGACGUUUAUUGGGCCUAAAGCAUCCGUAGCCGGUUCUACAAGUCUUCCGUUAAAUCCAACUGCUUAACAGGUGGGCUGCGGAAGAUACUAUAGAGCUAGGAGGCGGGAGAGGCAAGCGGUACUCGAUGGGUAGGGGUAAAAUCCGUUGAUCCGUUGAAGACCACCAGUGGCGAAGGCGGCUUGCCAGAACGCGCUCGACGGUGAGGGAUGAAAGCUGGGGGAGCAGACCGG